rnacentral:lncRNA from 1 species
GGAUGUGUAUGAAGUAUAAAUCACAUAAUUAUAUUAAACAUAAUGAUAUAUAGAGAAAAUAAGGGCGUGGCAAAACACAUAAAGUGAUAAAUAAUAUGGCCUUUUCAUCAAAUCACACUAAAACAGACACUACAGCCCAAAAGUCGCUUUAAUUUACCCUAAAUUUCACACAUACAUUGCAUUUUCUUUGGUUCAAAAUAUUUUGAAGGGAUUUCGGUUGCAAAUUAAUUUUAUAGAUUUUAUUGAUCAUUUAGAUAGCCUCCCCCUUUUUUUGGGGUAUUUUCGCAAUAAAUUGAGGAAAGUCUCAUAUUUCAAUUAAACCAAGCAUUCAAAAAUAAAUACUUGAAUUAUACAGAUGGUAUAAUACAAAAUAGGUAAAUCAAAUAGAAAAUUCAAAGUGAAAUGGAUUUU